UUUACUUACACUGGUAAAAAAUCAUACGCAGUAGUCUUCUAUUAAGAGAAUUAAGAGAUUUAAAAUAAAGUUGUAUCCUAAUAAAAUGUAGUUGCAGUGACAAGCAAUAAUCAAGACACAAAUAUGUAAAAGGUAUUCAAUCAAUGUAAUGGAAAAGAGAGCGUAUGAUUUUUCACUACGAUAAG
rnacentral:lncRNA from 1 species